AUAAGUUGCUUUAGCACACUACUGUAAUCCAGUUACUUCGAAGUUUGGUUGAUUGUCUGGUUUGAGGAUGGGAAUCUUAUUUAGUUGUUGGUCUUCUGUGGCGACCUGGUGUCUGUGGUAAGCUCUGCAUCAAUAUGGUGCUGGAGAUUCAACCCAGGGCGGAAACGCAGCAGGCAAAACACCCUGUGCCGAGCAGUAAUGUGAAUAGUCGUCGACUAGCAACCUCUUCGAUACAAUUGAUUUUAGAGAUU
rnacentral:SRP_RNA from 1 species